rnacentral:sRNA from 1 species
GCUGGGUGCUGUGGCGCUCGCCUGUAAUCCCAGUGACUCAGGAGGCUGAGGCAGGAGGAUCAUGAGUUCAAAGCCAGCCUCAG